rnacentral:rRNA from 1 species
UACGAAGGGUGCAAGCGUUACUCGGAAUUACUGGGCGUAAAGCGCGCGUAGGCGGCUUUGUAAGUUAGAGGUGAAAGCCCGGAGCUCAACUCCGGAACUGCCUUUAAAACUGCAUCGCUUGAAUCCAGGAGAGGUGAGUGGAAUUCCGAGUGUAGAGGUGAAAUUCGUAGAUAUUCGGAAGAACACCAGUGGCGAAGGCGGCUCACUGGACUGGUAUUGACGCUGAGGUGCGAAAGCGUGGGGAGCAAACAGG